rnacentral:lncRNA from 1 species
GAACUCGAGGCAGCCUCCUCAGGGUGCGCGGCGACCCUCCCCCAAGAGGCGAGCCGUUAGGCAGCUCCCCACCCCCACCCCAGACUUUGGGGACCUGACGGAACAGAGCCUCCGACCACCUGGGGCGCAGAGGUCCUUGUUGUGGUCCAUCAUCCAGGCAGUGGCCACCUCCUGACCUUCCUCCUCCGAGGGGUCCUCCCCAACAGCAGCAGUAGCAGUGGCCCCCUCCCAGCCUCGGAUGUGCAGACCAGAGGAGCAGACAGCCGGAGCAGUUCGAGACGUCAGAAAACAUUAACAGCCUUGCAGGGUGUGAGGUAUACGUUGCUUUUCCACCUGUGUGUUCUGGCUACACAUAGCC